rnacentral:rRNA from 1 species
UACACUCCUACGGGAGGCAGCAGUGGGGAAUUUUGGACAAUGGGCGAAAGCCUGAUCCAGCAAUGCCGCGUGUGUGAAGAAGGCCUUCGGGUUGUAAAGCACUUUUGUCCGGAAAGAAAUCCUUGGCUCUAAUACAGUCGGGGGAUGACGGUACCGGAAGAAUAAGCACCGGCUAACUACGUGCCAGCAGCCGCGGUAAUACGUAGGGUGCGAGCGUUAAUCGGAAUUACUGGGCGUAAAGCGUGCGCAGGCGGUUUGCUAAGACCGAUGUGAAAUCCCCGGGCUCAACCUGGGAACUGCAUUGGUGACUGGCAGGCUAGAGUAUGGCAGAGGGGGGUAGAAUUCCACGUGUAGCAGUGAAAUGCGUAGGGAUGUGGAGGAAUACCGAUGGCGAAGGCAGCCCCCUGGGCCAAUACUGACGCUCAUGCACGAAAGCGUGGGGAGCAAACAGGAUUAGAAACCCCAGGAGUCCC